rnacentral:rRNA from 1 species
GACAGAGGGUGCAAACGUUGUUCGGAAUUACUGGGCGUAAAGCGCGUGUAGGCUGCUUCGCAAGUCGGAUGUGAAAGCCCUGGGCUCAACCCAGGAAGUGCAUUCGAAACUGCAGAGCUGGAGUCCUGGAGAGGAAGGCGGAAUUCUCGGUGUAGAGGUGAAAUUCGUAGAUAUCGAGAGGAACACCGGUGGCGAAGGCGGCCUUCUGGACAGUGACGUGACGCUGAGACG